UAUUUUCCUUUUUUUCCCUCAGCCGCGGUAAUACGGAGGAUGCGAGCGUUAUCCGGAUUUAUUGGGUUUAAAGGGAGCGCAGACGGGAGAUUAAGUCAGUUGUGAAAGUUUGCGGCUCAACCGUAAAAUUGCAGUUGAUACUGGUUUCCUUGAGUGCAGUUGAGGCAGGCGGAAUUCGUGGUGUAGCGGUGAAAUGCUUAGAUAUCACGAAGAACCCCGAUUGCGAAGGCAGCUUGCUAAACUGUAACUGACGUUCAUGCUCGAAAGUGUGGGUAUCAAACAGG
rnacentral:rRNA from 1 species